rnacentral:rRNA from 2 species
CGGGUGAGUAACACGUGAGCACCUGCCCCUGACUCUGGGAUAAGCGGUGGAAACGCCGUCUAAUACCGGAUACGACCCGCCACCUCAUGGUGGAGGGUGGAAAGUUUUUCGGUCAGGGAUGGGCUCGCGGCCUAUCAGCUUGUUGGUGGGUUAACGGCCUACCAAGGCGAUUACGGGUAGCCGGCCUGAGAGGGCGACCGGCCACACUGGGACUGAGACACGUACAAGACUUAUGCGGGAGGCAGCAGUGGGGAAUAUUGCGCAAUGGGCGAAAGCCUGACGCAGCGACGCCGCGUGGGGGAUGACGGCCUUCGGGUUGUAAAUCUCUUUUACCACCAACGCAGGCUCGAAGUUCUCUUCGGGUUGACGGUAGGUGGGGAAUAAGGACCGGCUAACUACGUGCCAGCAGCCGCGGUAAUACGUAGGGUCCGAGCGUUGUCCGGAAUUAUUGGGCGUAAAGAGCUCGUAGGCGGCGUGUCGCGUCUGCUGUGAAAGACCGGGGCUUAACUCCGGUUCUGCAGUGGAUACGGGCAUGCUAGAGGUAGGUAGGGGAGACUGGAAUUCCUGGUGUAGCGGUGAAAUGCGCAGAUAUCAGGAGGAACACCGGUGGCGAAGGCGGGUCUCUGGGCCUUACCUGACGCUGAGGAGCGAAAGCAUGGGGAGCGAACAGGAUUAGAUACCCUGGUAGUCCAUGCCGUAAACGUUGGGCGCUAGGUGUGGGGACUUUCCACGGUUUCCGCGCCGUAGCUAACGCAUUAAGCGCCCGCCUGGGGAGUACGGCCGCAAGGCUAAAACUCAAAGGAAUUGACGGGGCCCGCA